rnacentral:tRNA from 1 species
GUUUCCGGUGUAGUGGUUAUCACGUUCGCCUAACACGCGAAAGGACCCUGGUUCGAGCCAAGGCGGAAACA